UAAAGUAAAUGUGCCAUUUCUCGUUCAAAGAGCUGCAUUGUAAUAUGCGUCUUUGAAAGUAGUUUUGAUAUCUGCAACAAGGUAUCACUUCUAAAA